rnacentral:rRNA from 1 species
CCUACGGGUGGCAGCAGUCGAGAAUUAUUCACAAUGGGGGAAACCCUGAUGGUGCGACGCCGCGUGGGGGAAUGAAGGUCUUCGGAUUGUAAACCCCUGUCAUGUGGGAGCAAAUUAAAAAGAUAGUACCACAAGAGGAAGAGACGGCUAACUCUGUGCCAGCAGCCGCGGUAAUACAGAGGUCUAAAGCGUUGUUCGGAAGCACUGGGCGUAAGGCGUGCGUAGGCUGUUUCGUAAGUCGUGUGUGAAAGGCGCGGGCUCAACCCGCGGACGGCACAUGAUACUGCGAGACUAGAGUAAUGGAGGGGGAACCGGAAUUCUCGGUGUAGCAGUGAAAUGCGUAGAUAUCGAGAGGAACACUCGUGGCGAAGGCGGGUUUCUGGACAUUAACUGACGCUGAGGCACGAAGGCCAGGGGAGCGAAAGGGAUUAGAUACCCUUGUAGUC